AGUCGUAACAAGGUUUCCGUAGGUGAACCUGCGGAAGGAUCAUUAUCGAGUUCGGUGCCCUCUGGGUGCCCACUCCCACCAAAUGUGAAUCGUUUAACCGUUGCUUUGGCGGACCGGCCUCGUGCCCCUCGGCUCCGGCUAGGGAGCGUCCGCCAGAGGAUUUUUAAACUCGCUUAACCGUGACAUCCGAGUAUCUUUAAACAAGUCAAAACUUUCAACAACGGAUCUCUUGGUUCUGGCAUCGAUGAAGAACGCAGCGAAAUGUGAUAAGUAAUGUGAAUUGCAGAAUUCAGUGAAUCAUCGAAUCUUUGAACGCACAUUGCGCCCUUUGGGUAUUCCGAAGGGCAUGCCUGCUCGAGCGUCAUUUAAAAACUCUCAAGCCCUGCUUGGUGUUGGGUGCGGGUCCGGGCAGGACCCUCCCGUAACUCGUUGGCGGAACCGUCCGGCUUCAAGCGUAGCAAGAUUUUCCCUCGCUUUGGAGCUUCGGCGGUCUCAGCCAAGGAAGCACACCUCAAAGUUUGACCUCGGAUCAGGUAGGGAUACCCGCUGAACUUAAGCAUAUCAAUAAGCGGAGGAAAAGAAACCAACCGGGAUUGCCUAGUAACGGCGAGUGAAGCGGCAACAGCUCAAAUUUGAAAUCUGGCCUCGGCCCGAGUUGUAAUUUAGAGAGGAUGCUUUGGAGUCGGCCUUGGUCUAAGUUCCUUGGAACAGGACGUCGCAGAGGGUGAGAAUCCCGUACGCGGCCGGGUGCCUUCUCCGUGUAAAGCUCCUUCGACGAGUCGAGUUGUUUGGGAAUGCAGCUCUAAAUGGGAGGUAUAUUUCUUCUAAAGCUAAAUACCGGCCAGAGACCGAUAGCGCACAAGUAGAGUGAUCGAAAGAUGAAAAGCACUUUGGAAAGAGAGUUAAAAAGUACGUGAAAUUGUUGAAAGGGAAGCGUUUGCGGCCAGACUUGACGGCGGUUGCUCAGCCGGUCUUUGCCCGGUGCACUCUUCCGCCGUCAGGCCAGCAUCAGUUUGGGCGGCUGGAUAAAGGCUUUGGGAACGUGGCUCCUAGGAGUGUUAUAGCCCUUUGCACAAUACAGCCUGCCCGGACUGAGGACAGCGUUCGUUAGGAUGCUGGCGUAAUGGCAGCCAACGGCC
rnacentral:rRNA from 1 species